AGCUUCGUGGUCGAGUGGUAAGGACACUAAGGACACUUGAUCCUGAAGUCGCGAGUUCGAUCCCCGGUCGAGGAACUA